rnacentral:rRNA from 1 species
AGUGAACGCUGGCGGUAGGCCUAACACAUGCAAGUCGAACGGCAACACAGUAAGAGCUUGCUCUUACGGGUGGCGAGUGGCGGACGGGUGAGGAAUACAUCGGAAUCUACUUUUUCGUGGGGGAUAACGUAGGGAAACUUACGCUAAUACCGCAUACGACCUACGGGUGAAAGCAGGGGAUCUUCGGACCUUGCGCGAUUGAAUGAGCCGAUGUCGGAUUAGCUAGUUGGCGGGGUAAAGGCCCACCAAGGCGACGAUCCGUAGCUGGUCUGAGAGGAUGAUCAGCCACACUGGAACUGAGACACGGUCCAGACUCCUACGGGAGGCAGCAGUGGGGAAUAUUGGACAAUGGGCGCAAGCCUGAUCCAGCCAUACCGCGUGGGUGAAGAAGGCCUUCGGGUUGUAAAGCCCUUUUGUUGGGAAAGAAAAGCAGCAGGUUAAUACCCCGCUGUUCGGACGGUACCCAAAGAAUAAGCACCGGCUAACUUCGU